rnacentral:tRNA from 1 species
GGCGGGUGUCACCAAGUGGUUAAGGUAAUGGUUUGUGGCGCCAUCAUGCGCGGGUUCAAAUCCCGUCAUCCGCCUC